UACGGAGGGUGCAAACGUUGCUCGGAAUCAUUGGGCGUAAAGCGCACGUAGGCGGCUCAGUAAGUCGGGUGUGAAACCUCCAGGCUCAACCUGGAGACGCCAUCCGAUACUGCUGUGGCUAGAGUCCGGUAGGGGAGCGUGGAAUUCCUGGUGUAGCGGUGAAAUGCGCAGAUAUCAGGAGGAACACCAGCGGCGAAGGCGGCGCUCUGGGCCGGAACUGACGCUGAGGAGCGAAAGCGUGGGGAGCGAACAGG
rnacentral:rRNA from 1 species